UACACUCCUACGGGAGGCAGCAGUGAGGAAUAUUGGACAAUGGGUGGAAGCCUGAUCCAGCCAUCCCGCGUGCAGGAAGACGGCCCUAUGGGUUGUAAACUGCUUUUAUCUGGGGAUAAACCUACUUACGUGUAAGUAGCUGAAGGUACCAGAAGAAUAAGCACCGGCUAACUCCGUGCCAGCAGCCGCGGUAAUACGGAGGGUGCAAGCGUUAUCCGGAUUUAUUGGGUUUAAAGGGUCCGUAGGCGGACUGAUAAGUCAGUGGUGAAAUCCGACAGCUUAACUGUCGAACUGCCAUUGAUACUGUUAGUCUUGAGUAAGGUUGAAGUGGCUGGAAUAAGUAGUGUAGCGGUGAAAUGCAUAGAUAUUACUUAGAACACCAAUUGCGAAGGCAGGUCACUAAGUCUUAACUGACGCUGAUGGACGAAAGCGUGGGGAGCGAACAGGAUUAGAAACCCCUGUAGUCCCAUG
rnacentral:rRNA from 1 species